GCCUAAGACUAUAUAACUGCUUGCUGCUGUUUGUGCCAGGCCUCACUACUCUAGUCUGCUGUGGUUGUCAGUCACCUCCAGGAGCUUAGAGUCCCCUUCUCCUGAUGCAGAAUGCUGUUCAUGGAGGAAGAAAACUGUCUCAGAAGUAUUGGUCUUUCUAAAUACUAAAUUCCUGAAGAUUGUAUCCAUGGGAAGUUGCACAUAAUGCAGUGUUUGGACGGCAUAUAUAAGCGCUUGUUUCACUUCCCAGUUCUGCUAACUGUUCCAAUGAAG